rnacentral:rRNA from 1 species
GAUGAACGCUGGCGGCGUGCCUAAUACAUGCAAGUCGAGCGAACGGACGAGAAGCUUGCUUCUCUGAUGUUAGCGGCGGACGGGUGAGUAACACGUGGAUAACCUACCUAUAAGACUGGGAUAACUUCGGGAAACCGGAGCUAAUACCGGAUAAUAUUUUGAACCGCAUGGUUCAAAAGUGAAAGACGGUCUUGCUGUCACUUAUUGAUGGAUCCGCGCUGCAUUAGCUAGUUGGUAAGGUAACGGCUUACCAAGGCAACGAUGCAUAGCCGACCUGAGAGGUUGAUCGGCCACACUGGAACUGAGACACGGUCCAGACUCCUACGGGAGGCAGCAGUAGGGAAUCUUCCGCAAUGGGCGAAAGCCUGACGGAGCAACGCCGCGUGAGUGAUGAAGGUCUUCGGAUCGUAAAACUCUGUUAUUAGGGAAGAACAUAUGUGUAAGUAACUGUGCACAUCUUGACGGUACCUAAUCAGAAAGCCACGGCUAACUACGUG